rnacentral:rRNA from 1 species
AGAGUUUGAUCAUGGCUCAGGAUGAACGCUAGCGGCAGUAACACAUGCAAGUCGAGGGGCAGCACGAUGUAGCAAUACAUUGGUGGCGACCGGCGCACGGGUGCGUAACACGUAUGGAAUCUGCCCUGUACUGGAGGAUAGCCCGGAGAAAUCCGGAUUAAUACUCCAUGAUCGUCGAGGUGGCAUCACCUUGAUCUGAAAGCUCCGGCGGUACAGGAUGACCAUGCGCACGAUUAGCUAGUUGGUGAGGUAACGGCUCACCAAGGCUACGAUCGUUAGGGGGCCUGAGAGGGUUAUCCCCCACACUGGUACUGAGACACGGACCAGACUCCUACGGGAGGCAGCAGUGAGGAAUAUUGCGCAAUGGAGGCAACUCUGACGCAGCCAUGCCGCGUGCAGGAUGAAGGCGCUACGCGUUGUAAACUGCUUUUAACCGGGAAGAAACCCCAGGACGUGUCCUGGGUUGACGGUACCGGUGGAAUAAGCACCGGCUAACUUCGUGCCAGCAGCCGCGGUAAUACGAAGGGUGCAAGCGUUAUCCGGAUUCAUUGGGUUUAAAGGGUGCGUAGGCGGAGCGUUAAGUCAGUGGUGAAAUCCCGCAGCUCAACUGUGGAAUUGCCAUUGAUACUGGCGCUCUUGAGUGCGGUUGACGUGGGCGGAAUGUGCCGUGUAGCGGUGAAAUGCUUAGAUAUGGCACAGAACACCGAUCGCGAAGGCAGCUCGCGAAGCCGCAACUGACGCUGAGGCACGAAAGCGUGGGCGAACAGGAUUAGAUACCCUAGUAGUCC